GCAGAUGCAACUGUAUUAAUUUUAUUGUUUCCUGAAUAAGAAAUUCUGGAUUUUAUUUUUGUAAUGGAAUUUUUAGAUUGGAUAUUCCAUUGCAGAAAACUUGGCUUUUUAUCUGAUAACUACAUGAAUAAGGAUCCAAAAAUCGAUCAUUAAAUUUCACAAAAAAAUUAACCAACAUUGUGUAGUUUUUCAUUUGUUAAUAAAAUACGGAAGUACAGUUAAGCUUAUUGGGUGAGUCUUUAGGGGGAGCUCAUGGAAAAUCAACAUUCAGGUAAACUCCUCCAUGUUAUUUGUCAAAACGGAAUGUUAUAGAUAACUUGUAGCUCAGGUUCUUCCAUAGGUUCAAAUGCUGUAGUUAUUAGAGCACUUUUUUCUUGCAGCUAGAGGAAAGAUAAAUCUCCUUGAGAUUGAUCUUGGUUUCCAGUUUAAAUUUCUUUAGAAAAGUCUGUCAGUUGUAACAUCUACAUUUUGUGCUACUUGGCUUCAGCGGAGAUGCUCAACCAUGGGCCUGGGGAGUUGAGUUCCAAGUUCUGGAAGUUGAGUUCCAAGUUGAGCCACUGACUUUCAAAGGAAGGGCCUCCCAGGAUCUCCGUUCAUCUGUCGCUUGGAGAGGAUCAUGCUGCCUGCCACCCUCACAGGAGUGUUGUGCAGCUUAGUUAAUUAACGUUUGUCAGGCCAUUUGAGAUCCUCAGAUGCAGAGUGCUAGAUAAGUGGAAAUAGUCUGAUUAUUUGUUCAUUUUGUAAGUGUGAUACCAGGACAGUACAAUGAGAAUGUUAUUUCCCCUUUUCUUCAGCAGCGUUAAAUUUAUAGUUUAAAGAUUGUUGAUACCGGACAGACUAUUGAGAUGCAAAAAUGUUCUUUUGGGGACAGUCCAUUGGCAGCCAAACAGACGUUUAAACAAGUGACAAUGUUGAAUGCCUUUACAACCACUGACAGAAGACUGCAGGAGCUUUUUUUUAACUAAAGAUGGUCUGAAGUGAAAAGUGAUAUUCAUUGUUUUGCUUCAUAUUUAAUUAAAAUGAAAGCAAAAUUCCAGUUAUCAAAGAGGUAGCACUGACUUAAUGUUUAUGUACAUAACUGUUUUCUCACCCGAUUUGGACUUUUUACAUGUGCAUAAGUAAAAUACCAAAGAGAUCAGACUAUAUCAGGAAAAAUGGGAAGUAUAUACCUCUCUAAACACUGGUUAUGAAGCCAUGACUUUAGGCCCUGUUGGUAGUUUCUCUUUAGGUAGCAGUUGAUAUUUUCUUUGCCUGAGAGUAAAAUAAAUGAUUAAAAACUAUUGACUAUAUGCAGAGAUGAAAAAUCCUUGUACAUGUCUCUGCUUCUGUGCCAUAUAGAUGUAUUUCUGUUGACAUCUAUUUGAAAAAUAUAUGAUUUAAACUCAAAUAUGUUUUAGUUUAGAUUUUAAAAAUACAAUCCAUGUAUCAAAUUCAUUAUGUGUAAUAGUGAACAUGACAGUUCUGUUUUACCGUGUAAAAGUGAAGUAGCUUUUUCUUAUUUAUUGAUUAUUCAUCUUUUACAUUUAUAUACCAUUUUUGACAGUAGAAAGUUGUCAAAUUCGUUCCAUAUUCCAUAGGUAUAGAAGUUUGGUUUUAUUAGUUUGAUUAAUGAGAUUUUUAAGCAAUCUAAUUUCUUUUCUAUAAGUCUGCUUCAUUAACCCACACAUUUUUUAAAGCACUUUUUUUUUAAUGCACACACAAUAAUUGUACAUAUUGUGGGGAACAUAGUGCUGUUGUGAUACAUAUAAUGUGUGGUGGAAGGAUUAGGGUAAUUUGUAUAUCCAUCACCUCAACAUUUGUAAUUUCUUUGUAUUAGGGACAUUCACUAUUCCAGCUAUUUGAAACUACAUACUACUGUUAAGUACAGGCGUCCUACAGUGCUACAGAACACUGAAACUUACUCCUCCCGUCUAGCUAUAACUUCAUAUCCUUCAACAAAUCUCUGCCUAUUCUCCCUUUCCCCCUACCCUUCCUAUCCUCUAAUAUCUUCUCUUCCGUUUUUGGUUUCUACAAGAUAAAUUUUUUUUUUUUUUAGCUUCCACAUAUAAGUGAGAACAUGCAGUGUUUAACUUUCUAUUCCAGGCUUAUUUCACUUAAAAUAACGUUCGCCUGUUCUAUUCACGUUGCUGCAAGUGACAGAAUUUUAUUCUUUUUUUAUGACUGAAUAUAUUCCAUUGUGUGUAUUUACCUCAUUUUGUUUAUUCAUUUAUCUGUCGUUGGACACCUAGGCUGAUUCCGUAUCUUGAUUAUUGUCAAUAGUGCUGCAGUGAACAUGGGGGUACAGGUGUCUCUUUAAUAUACUAAUUUCCUUUCCUUUGGAAAAAUACUCAGGAGAGGGAUUGCUAGAUCAUGUAUGUAGCUCUGUUUGCGGUUUUUUUGAGGAGCCUCCAUACUGUUCUCCAUAGUGGCUGCCCUAGUUUACACUCCCACCCACAUUAAUAGCACUUGAAAAACGACAACAACAAUGUUUUUGUAACCUAGGCUGUUUGUGAGGUCUGGCAUAGUUCUGCUGGCCCAGGUUUCUAAAGCAGGUGAAGCAGAUGUAUCUUAGUGAAUUGGACUGUAGGUUUGCAGCUACUGUGAAAUGUUAUCCUUUAGUGCAGUAUCUGUUCAUUAUUUCCUAUAUAACUAUCUUUUGCUUGGCUUCUCUUUUCCAUGGACUGCAUGAGUCAGGACAUAACAGGGCCCCCAAAAGAACCCAUUGUUGAGCAUUCUUAGAUGUUGGAAGUGAAGAGUAUACAGAAGGUGGCCCAAGUUUCAGGAGCACAGGGCCAGAAUGAUUCAAAAAUGAGGUAUGUAGUGUUGAUGUGAAUCUGGUAAUUUUCCGGCAGAGCCCAGUCUGAUGGGUCCAUUUUACAGGCACAUUAAUACCUAAAAUGCCACAACGAGGUUUUAUUUUGGAUUUUUGGGGAUUUUGUUAUUUUCACCAAAAAGGUAAAUAUUAUCUCCAUUGUCUCUCAUAUAUAUAUAUAUAUAUAUUUUUUUUUUUUAUUUUUUUUUUUUUUUUUUUGAGACGGAGUCUCCCUCUGUCGCCCAGGCUGCAGUGCAGUGGCGCAAUCUCCGCUCACUGCAAGCUCCGCCUCCCGGGUUCACGCCAUUCUCCUGCCUCAGGCUCCUGAGUAGCUGGGACUACAGGCGCCCGCCACCACGCCUGGCUAAUUUUUUUUUGUAUUUUUAGUAGCGAUGGGGUUUCACCAUGUUAGCCAGGAUGAUCUCAAUCUCCUGACCUCCUGAUCCGCCCGCCUCGGCCUCCCAAAGUGCUGGGAUUACAGGGGUGAGCCACCGCACCCAGCCUGUGAAAUACUAUUUUUAUGGUAAGCUAGAAUUUUAAAACUAUUUCUUGCAAGUUUAGGAUUAAAUGAAUUACAUUAUGUAAAAUUACAUCUUUGUCUGUAUUACGUAUUUGUAUACAGUUGAAUAGUUUUGGUAACACGUACCUUAGUG
rnacentral:lncRNA from 1 species